AACCGACUAAUGUUGAAAAAUUAGCGGAUGACCUGUGGCUGGGGGUGAAAGGCCAAUCAAACCGGGAGAUAGCUGGUUCUCCCCGAAAGCUAUUUAGGUAGCGCCUCGUGAAUUCAUCUCCGGGGGUAGAGCACUGUUUCGGCUAGGGGGCCAUCCCGGCUUACCAACCCGAUGCAAACUGCGAAUACCGGAGAAUGUUAUCACGGGAGACACACGGCGGGUGCUAACGUCCGUCGUGAAGAGGGAAACAACCCAGACCGCCAGCUAAGGUCCCAAAGUCAUGGUUAAGUGGGAAACGAUGUGGGAAGGCCCAGACAGCCAGGAUGUUGGCUUAGAAGCAGCCAUCAUUUAAAGAAAGCGUAAUAGCUCACUGGUCGAGUCGGCCUGCGCGGAAGAUGUAACGGGGCUAAACCAU
rnacentral:rRNA from 1 species